CUUUAAGAGAGGCGCAGCGGCAGAUUGCGUGAAAUCGCGGGGGGUCAUGGGAGAUCACGGAGUUCCCGGGCAGAGUUAGCGACACGGAAGUAGCAGUAGCUAGAGUGAAAGGCAGACUGCAGAGAUUCCUGUCGAUUGGUGGUAACACACAUAACUUAAAGUGUGCGAUAGCUCCAAGAUGCUGUGGACAAAACUGAACAGUGGGAGGGGAGACAGAGCGCAUUGAGGUCAAGGUGUGUGACUGAGCGCGUGAGCUGCACACAGGAGUGAGAGGCAUGGAUGUAUGAGACCCUGUACUCUGGACCAAAGUGUUGAACAGACGGAGCUGACCACGUCACCCUCCUUUGGUCCAAGGUAUUGUAGCUGCCAAGAGCAAUCAGAGAGCCUAAUCCCAGCCCAUAGGAAAAGAAGAUCUGAGUGGCAGCAUCCAGCCAUACCUGACACAAAGAUUAUCAAAAAAAAAAAGAUGUUAAAAACCCCAGUGUAGACUGUGCAUUGUCAAUGCUAAACAGAGAUUUAUUUAUUAAUUUCACUGAUGAUCAUAGUCAUUUUGAGCCAUUUUUCUUUGUUGGGCUGAUCAAGCCAUGUGCACAAAUGUAUUUGGUCUCUUAUAGACCUUUGAUGUGAUGUCAGGAAGUGAAAACUAUUUCUGUGAAACUGUGACACCUAAAUGCUGUUGUGUUACACUUAUCUGAUGCAGUCUAAUCACAUUGCACCCCAUCUUGAUCAACUUAACUCAGCUGCCUUCUCUCUUCUGGACAUCAGGCUACAAACUGCUGGCACACUCCAGCCUUUCAGGAGCUGUCUGGGGCCUACAGUAUGCUUUAUACUCAGCCUGCAUCAGCAAGAUAAAUACAAUGGUGUAUAGUCAUCACAGGGGUUUGACUUUUUGUAUGCUUGUUGCUCUGUUGCUCAAGGGAAAAUACAUUAAUACAUACAUUAAAUUUUUUUUUUUCAAUUUCUGUGCGCUAAUAGAUAUCCUUAUCCAAACUAAACAGAUCCAAGUGGAUUCUUAGUCUUCUUUGGUACUGUGCACUUAAAUCAAUAUUACAGCAUUAACUUGAUGAAGACAAACCAUCUGUUUCACGUUGGCUUUGUUAUGUUCUACAACCCCUCCCGUUAGGAAGGCUCACACAUUUUCUCUGGAGCCCCAUUAUAGAUUGUAUUGAAGAAGACUGUGUUGAAAUCCUAAUAAAGGGUAUUGCAAGGGUAUUGGAACCAAAUAAUCCCCAAAGCGUAAGGACCAUACAUUCAUUUAAGUUUUAGUUGAAAACCUUAAAAAAAGGGAGCAAUUAGCAGUUUUGACAUCAUGACAUCUAUGUAUUA